GCCGACUUAGCUCAGUUGGUAGAGCAACUGAUUUGUAAUCAGUGGGUCGAGGGUUCAAAUCCUUUAGUCGGCAUCA
rnacentral:tRNA from 2 species